AGAGUUUGAUCAUGGCUCAGAACGAACGCUGGCGGCGCGCUUAAUACAUGCAAGUCGAACGGGAACCAACUUCUUCGGAGGUUGAAUUCUAGUGGCGAACGGGUGAGUAACACGUGGGUAACCUGCCCUCGAGUGGGGAAUAACACUCCUAACGGAGUGCUAAUACCGCAUAAUACAGACAGUCGCAAGAUUGUCUUUCAAAGGUGGCCUCUCCUUGGAAGCUAUCGCUUGUGGAUGGACCCGCGUCCCAUUAGCUUGUUGGUAGGGUAACGGCCUACCAAGGCAACGAUGGGUAGCCGGCCUGAGAGGGUGACCGGCCACACUGGGACUGAGAUACGGCCCAGACUCCUACGGGAGGCAGCAGUAGGGAAUAUUGCGCAAUGGGCGUAAGCCUGACGCAGCGACGCCGCGUGAGCGAUGAAGGCCUUCGGGUCGUAAAGCUCAAUCCAGAUGGGAAGAAAUACAGAAAGGUUAAGAGCUCUUCUGUUUGACUGUACCAUCAGGGAAGCUCCGGCUAAUUCCGUGCCAGCAGCCGCGGUAAUACGGAGGGAGCAAGCGUUGUUCGGAAUUACUGGGCGUAAAGGGCGCGUAGGCGGAUCGAUAAGUCAGAUGUGAAAUCCAUCGGCUUAACCGGUUGAACUGCAUUUGAAACUGUCGGUCUUGAGAACAGGAGAGGGGAGUGGAAUUCCAGGUGUAGCGGUGAAAUGUGUAGAUAUCUGGAAGAACACCAGUGGCGAAGGCGGCUCCCUGGCCUGAUUCUGACGCUAAGGCGCGAAAGCUA
rnacentral:rRNA from 1 species